rnacentral:snoRNA from 1 species
GCGCACUGUACGUAAUCAGUUUUCAUUCCCCGUUGAUAACUGGUUCCAUUCCGGUGCCACACCAAUCCCCAUAAUGAAAAGUAUGGCUCGCCAAUAGCUGGCCUGUUUUUGUCUGUUGGGAACAAUG